GAUGAACGCUGGCGGCGUGCCUAAUACAUGCAAGUCGAGCGAACAGAUGAGGAGCUUGCUCCUCUGACGUUAGCGGCGGACGGGUGAGUAACACGUGGAUAACCUACCUAUAAGACUGGGAUAACUUCGGGAAACCGGAGCUAAUACCGGAUAAUAUAUCGAACCGCAUGGUUCAAUAGUGAAAGACGGUUUUGCUGUCACUUAUAGAUGGAUCCGCGCCGCAUUAGCUAGUUGGUAAGGUAACGGCUUACCAAGGCGACGAUGCGUAGCCGACCUGAGAGGGUGAUCGGCCACACUGGAACUGAGACACGGUCCAGACUCCUACGGGAGGCAGCAGUAGGGAAUCUUCCGCAAUGGGCGAAAGCCUGACGGAGCAACGCCGCGUGAGUGAUGAAGGUCUUCGGAUCGUAAAACUCUGUUAUUAGGGAAGAACAAAUGUGUAAGUAACUAUGCACGUCUUGACGGUACCUAAUCAGAAAGCCACGGCUAACUACGUG
rnacentral:rRNA from 1 species